rnacentral:tRNA from 1 species
GGGCCCGUAGCUCAGCCAGGUAGAGCGGCGGGCUCUUAAUACCCGUAGGUCCCGGGUUCAAAUCCCGGCGGGC